rnacentral:rRNA from 1 species
GCACAAGCGGUGGAGCAUGUGGUUUAAUUCGACGCAACGCGAGGAACCUUACCAGAUCUUGACAUCCUGCGAACGCCCAUGAGGAUGGGCGGUGCCUUCGGGAACGCGGAGACAGGUGGUGCAUGGCUGUCGACAGCUCGUGUCGUGAGAUGUUGGGUUAAGUCCCGCAACGAGCGCAACCCCUGUUGCUAGUUACCAUCAUUAAGUUGGGGACUCUAGCAAGACUGCCUGCGAAGAGCAGGAGGAAGGUGGGGAUGACGUCAAGUCAUCAUGCCCCUUAUGAUCUGGGCUACACACGUGCUACAAUGGGCUGUACAGAGAGGAGCGAGGCGGUGACGCGGAGCGAAUCUUGAAAGCAGUUCGAAGUUCGGAUUGAAGUCUGCAACUCGACUUCAUGAAGUUGGAAUCGCUAGUAAUCGCGGAUCAGCAAUGCCGCGGUGAAUACGUCCCGGGC